rnacentral:misc_RNA from 1 species
GUCAUACUUCGUAACAGAGCUUUAGUCUUAAAAACAUUUAAUAUAAAUAUAAUAUGGUUUUCAGCGGCUUCGGAAAUUCCGGAUAGUCCAGAAACGCCCCACCAGCAGUCCGACCACGAUAGCGACUCGUCUGUCUUUGACACAGUCAAGAGCCCCACCAGUCAUACGUCUAUAGACCAAUUAGACCAGAACGGAACCCAUCCUCUCGGAUCUAGUUCGUCAGUCACGAGCGGUUCCAGUGGAUACAAACAAACCGUGCGGCGCCGCGCCGCCGAGCCGGCCUCCGCCUCCCUCGACCACGAGAUCAUGAGCUGCGGCCGCGACCUGCCGGGUACUCACACGAAACGCUCAUCGUCCGAAUGUCGGGACACAACCUCCUCGCCCCGCCGAGGACUCGAGUCCCGAGAAAGUUCGAUCAAAGACGAACUACGAAGGAACAACUCGCUCAGGGAAUCCCGCCGGGACUUUUCCCGGGAUCCCCCCACAACUUCCAUCGCGUGAUUUCAAUUCGGGUGGGUUAAAGCGUCUUUGUAAUGUUAAAGGUUGUCCGGGACUGAAUCUGUGUAAUUUUCUUUAAAUCUAAAUUCGUUUAAAUUAAUUAAUUCGUCUUAAUAUUAAAACUAUAUAAUUUUAUGCAUUGUCAAAGAAUUGAGAGUACCCUUUAAAAAAGAAAAAUUAAAAAAAAACAAUUAUUCGAUUUUCUUUUAGUAUUUUGAUAAGUCCGUCAACUAAAUUUUAAUUUUUGUUUUCUGUUUUUUUUUUUUUUUAUAAUAUUUCCGUAAAAUUAAAAUGAUUAAUUUUAAUCAAUGUAUACCUCAAAAGUUUCCUAAACUGCCGCAAUUCGUCCUCUUCCAAUAAACAAUCAGAUAUCCAUCCUCAAUGUAAUAGCUUAAGCUUAUCUAUUUAAAUAUGAAAA